rnacentral:rRNA from 1 species
UUGCUUCUCUUGAGAGCGGCGGACGGGUGAGUAAUGCCUAGGAAUCUGCCUGGUAGUGGGGGAUAACGUCCGGAAACGGACGCUAAUACCGCAUACGUCCUACGGGAGAAAGCAGGGGACCUUCGGGCCUUGCGCUAUCAGAUGAGCCUAGGUCGGAUUAGCUAGUUGGUGGGGUAAUGGCUCACCAAGGCGACGAUCCGUAACUGGUCUGAGAGGAUGAUCAGUCACACUGGAACUGAGACACGGUCCAGACUCCUACGGGAGGCAGCAGUGUGGAAUAUUGGACAAUGGGCGAAAGCCUGAUCCAGCCAUGCCGCGUGUGUGAAGAAGGUCUUCGGAUUGUAAAGCACUUUAAGUUGGGAGGAAGGGCAGUAAAUUAAUACUUUGCUGUUUUGACGUUACCGACAGAAUAAGCACCGGCUAACUCUGUGCCAGCAGCCGCGGUAAUACAGAGGGUGCAAGCGUUAAUCGGAAUUACUGGGCGUAAAGCGCGCGUAGGUGGUUCGUUAAGUUGGAUGUGAAAUCCCCGGGCUCAACCUGGGAACUGCAUUCAAAACUGACGAGCUAGAGUAUGGUAGAGGGUGGUGGAAUUUCCUGUGUAGCGGUGAAAUGCGUAGAUAUAGGAAGGAACACCAGUGGCGAAAGCGACCACCUGGACUGAUACUGACACUGAGGUGCGAAAGCGUGGGGAGCAAACAGAUUAGAUACCCUGGUAGUCCACGCCGUAAACGAUGUCAACUAGCCGUUGGGAGCCUUGAGCUCUUAGUGGCGCAGCUAACGCAUUAAGUUGACCGCCUGGGAGUACGGCCGCAAGUUAAACUCAAAUGAAUU